rnacentral:tRNA from 1 species
UUGCCGGGAUAGCUCAGUCGG